rnacentral:rRNA from 1 species
UACGUAGGGUGCGAGCGUUGUCCGGAAUUAUUGGGCGUAAAGAGCUUGUAGGCGGUUUGUCGCGUCUGCUGUGAAAAUCCGGGGCUCAACCCCGGACUUGCAGUGGGUACGGGCAGACUAGAGUGUGGUAGGGGAGACUGGAAUUCCUGGUGUAGCGGUGAAAUGCGCAGAUAUCAGGAGGAACACCGAUGGCGAAGGCAGGUCUCUGGGCCGAUAUUGACGCUGAGGAGCGAAAGCGUGGGGAGCGAACAGG